rnacentral:rRNA from 1 species
GUGCCAGCAGCCGCGGUAAUACGUAGGGUGCAAGCGUUAAUCGGAAUUACUGGGCGUAGAGCGUGCGCAGGCGGUUUUGUAAGACAGUGGUGAAAUCCCCGGGCUCAACCUGGGAACUGCCAUUGUGACUGCAAGGCUAGAGUGCGGCAGAGGGGGGUGGAAUUCCGCGUGUAGCAGUGAAAUGCGUAGAUAUGCGGAGGAACACCGAUGGCGAAGGCAAUCCCCUGGGCCUGCACUGACGCUCAUGCACGAAAGCGUGGGGAGCAAACAGGAUUAGAUA